rnacentral:lncRNA from 1 species
CCUUUGACCCGAUGCUGUCAGAGAGCGUGCAUGAAGAAGAAAGUUAAUGGUAUUUCCAUUUAUAUAAGAAGCGCCUAAGAAAUGCCUGUGACGUUCGUGAACUAGUGAUUGUGAAUUCCAAAUUUGAUGCCAACUUUAUGUGUAAAGAAGCUAACUCCUGCCAACAUCGUGGCUGAAUGAACAGCUGGGACUAUGCUUAACCCAUUCCCAGCUUAUAAAAGCCCCAUGGCAGCUGCAGUGAAGCAUCAGAUUAUGUGAUGCAACAAAAUUCAAAUAUGAAAACCAUCUCGGAGGCCGGGCGCGGUGGCUCACGCCUUUAAUCCCAGCACUUUGGGAGGCCGAGGUGGGUGGAUCAUUUGAGGUCAGAAGUUCAAGACCAGCCUGGCCAACACGGUGAAACCCUGUCUCUACUAAAAAUACAAAAAUUAACUGGGCGUGGUGGCACAUGCCUGUAAUCCCAGCUACUCGGGAGGCUGAGGCAGGAGAAUUGCUUGAACCUGGGAGGCGGAGGUUGCAGUGAGCCGAGAUCACGCCAUUGUUCUCCAGCCUGGGCAACAAGAGCAAAACUCUGUCUCAAAAAUAAAAUAAAAAAUUGCUUUAAAAAAUAAAAA